GUAGUCAGAUUGUACAAAUGACUGGGCUCAGGGUCACCAAAUCUCAUCAAUUUGUUGGCUUCAGUUUCACGCCAGGUACUUGGCUGUAUUCCACUUUCACAAAGAUUUUUUGCCACUUCAGCACGCAGAUUUCCAGAUAACUGCCUCUUUGACUUGAAACUAUGCAGUGUCUCAUCUUGUAGAAUGCAGUGAAGGAGAGCACAUUCAUUUGAUUUGGGUUCUUUGACACAGUGAAUGAGAAGUCUGCCUUUGCACUCUUUGCAGUGUGCUUCGAUGGCCAAAAAUUUUGAUUACAUAUUCUCUCCCACGGUUGCUACUGAUGUCCUGAUAUGUGACUGUGUCAGGACACUUCACUGUCAUCACUGCCUUCCUGCUCUGCCCCCACCACAGCUAACCCUAAACCUUGCCAUACAUUAUGGCGGUUUAAUUUUACAAACGUAUACAAUGCUUUGGCUGAAAUUUUGGAGUUCAGCUGCUGGCUCAGAGCAAUCCAUACAUCAUCAGAAGGAACAGCUAUAUGACCGCUACAGACAAUUUGAUCCUGCGCUGUCUGGAGAACCUCAAUUAUUUUCUCCUUGCUGACACUAGGAAUUUUGGGCAUCUGAUCAAAAGAAAUGCAAAUGACCACGACUUCAGUAUAUUUAUGUGUUUUAUCUGUAUACAGUAUAUCAAAUAACUAUUUGUUAAUACUUAAUUAAAAUGUGCAAAAGAGCUUUGUGCAUUAACUGUCUUACAUAAAUUUGUGCCUUCAAUUUA